rnacentral:rRNA from 1 species
AGUAAUGUCUGGGAAACUGCCUGAUGGAGGGGGAUAACUACUGGAAACGGUAGCUAAUACCGCAUAACGUCGCAAGACCAAAGAGGGGACCUUCGGGCCUCUUGCCAUCGGAUGUGCCCAGAUGGGAUUAGCUAGUAGGUGGGGUAACGGCUCACCUAGGCGACGAUCCCUAGCUGGUCUGAGAGGAUGACCAGCCACACUGGAACUGAGACACGGUCCAGACUCCUACGGGAGGCAGCAUG